rnacentral:rRNA from 1 species
UGGGGAAUAUUGCACAAUGGGCGCAAGCCUGAUGCAGCCAUGCCGCGUGUGUGAAGAAGGCCUUCGGGUUGUAAAGCACUUUCAGCGGGGAGGAAGGCGUUAAGGUUAAUAACCUUGGCGAUUGACGUUACCCGCAGAAGAAGCACCGGCUAACUCCGUGCCAGCAGCCGCGGUAAUACGGAGGGUGCAAGCGUUAAUCGGAAUUACUGGGCGUAAAGCGCACGCAGGCGGUCUGUCAAGUCGGAUGUGAAAUCCCCGGGCUCAACCUGGGACCUGCAUCUGAACCGGGCAGGCUAAGUUCUUUUAGAGGGGGGUAGAUUUCCAGUUGUGGCGGUAAAAUGCGUAGGGUUCUGGAGGAAUCCCGGUGGCAAAGCCGGCCCCUGGACAAAGACUGACGCUCAGGUGCGAAAGCGUGGGGAGCAAACAGG